AAAUAAGUUCCAUCCUCUUCUGCAUAUGGUCUCUGUCUACUCUUACUGAGUCAUACUCACAAGUCACAGUCUAGUGCUUUCCAUUGGGACAGUAGCUCCAGAAAGUUAGCUAUCAUGGAUAUAUCUCAUGGAAUGUAUGGUCUCUGUCCAAUGAGAAAACUCUGCAAGGAUCACAAUUACACGUAGCCCGUCCCACACGAAUGGUGGAAGUCUUGCUUUACUGGAGCUUUUCUUCCUGGCCAUUGCCGUAUUUGAAUGGCUUGAAGAAAUAUGACUUGCAGCAAAUCCGUCACUAAACUAUUUCUGAGCCACUUGUUUUUGUUUUGCUUUGGUUGUUCUCGCUAUAAAUCCUGGCAGUGUUCCUGCCUGUUCUCUCAAAAAGAUAAGAACGUACACUGUUGUGUUUGGACUUAGACCAAUGGUUUUGAUCAGUUGGGUGCUACUACUCUUACCUGCAGUGCUCUAUUCACUAGCCACCUCUGUCGUCCACGGUGACGCGCCCUUGCGUCAUGGCAGGAUGGCACUGACUGUUGCCUUUGGGAAGGUGUUGGCUGCUGCAACUCCUCGGGCCAUGUCACCGCUCUAGAACUCAGUGGGCGUGGCUUGUACAGUCAAGGCCUUAACCCUUCGAUCUUCAACCUCACCUCACUCCAACGACUCGACCUUAGCAUGAAUUAUUUUGGCCAGUACAGUCUCCCAGCUAAUGGGUUUGAGAGGCUCCCCUUGCCCACCCAUCUCAAUCUCUCCAAGUCAGGGUUUCAAGGCCAGAUACCUAUUGGUAUCGGCAAACUUUCCAACCUUAUCUCCUUGGAUCUUUCAGUUCUUUGCUAUGCCUCUCAGGAGGACUCUCUUGAUGGCUAUGUUACCAGCAUCCCUGGCGUUACUAAUUGGCUGUGGCUGUAGGAACCGAACUUUCAGAACCUAGUUGGCAACCUCAACAAUCUGACAGAGCUCUACCUUGAUGGAGUUGAUAUGUCUAGCAGCGCAGAUGAUUGGUGCAAUGCUCUUGCUAAGUCUCUUCCAAAGCUCCGAAUUCUUAGCUUGAGUUAUUGUAAUCUCGCUGUUUCUAUUUGUCCGUCCCUCUCAACCCUGCACUCCCUAACUGUGAUCAACCUCCAAGAUAACUUUGACACGUCUGCCACUCUUCCUCAAGAGUUGCUCAUAAAUUUUCUCCAUUCAAGUGUUCUUCAGCUUGCUUGGAAAAAUCUCCAAGGGUUGUUCCCAAGUAGAAUCUUCGGAUCGAAUACUCUAAGGGGGCACGAUUUAUCCGGGGCAUGAUCUGUCAGGUUAUGUGCCAACUUUGUCCAUCUGCUAGCUAUGAUGAUGGAUUUAUUUUGAGCUGGAUUGUCGAAGGAAAAUGCGCAUAACCAGAGCAUUUAACUGCAGCUUCUUUGGAUGAGUGCCAGCAGUGAGGAGAAUUCAGAAUGGGUAAUAGCUUUGUGUACCUUUUCUACUAGGAUUCUAGCUUUCGCAGUGUAAUCUAAUUUUAGAGCCUACCAUACCAUGCUGUUUGUUUUUUGGAGAAGUGGAGCGGUUCGAGCUUGCUACCUUUAUUUUGCAUUGCGAGGCUUUUGUAAGUCUACGGUGUAUUUCUCAAUAAAAAUCUGAGCAAAA